AUUGAACGCUGGCGGCAGGCCUAACACAUGCAAGUCGAACGAGUGGCGGACGGGUGAGUAAUGUCUGGGAAACUGCCCGAUGGAGGGGGAUAACUACUGGAAACGGUAGCUACUACCGCAUACCAUCGGAUGUGCCCAGUGGGGAUUAGCUAGUAGGUGGGGUAACGGCUCACCUAGGCGACGAUCCCUAGCUUGUCUGACAGGAUGACCAGCCACCGUGGAACGGAGACACGGUCCAGAGUCCUACGGGAGGCAGCAGUGGGGAAUAUUGCACAAUGGGCGCAAGCCUGAUGCAGCCAUGCCGCGUGUAUGAAGAAGGCCUUCGGGUUGUAAAGUACUUUCAGCGGGGAGGCGUUACCCGCAGAAGAAGCACCGGCUAACUACGUGCCAGCCGCCGCGGUAAUUC
rnacentral:rRNA from 1 species